GAUCAACGCUGGCGGCGUGCAUGAGACAUGCAAGUCGAACGGACACUCACGGGCUUGCCUGUGAGUGUUAGUGGCGGACGGCUGAGUAACGCGUAGGUGACCUGCCCCGAAGUGGGGAAUAACUGCCCGAAAGGGUGGCUAAUACCGCAUGUGGUGAUGCGUUCAGACGCAUCAGUAAAGCCGCAAGGCGCUUCGGGAGGGGCCUGCGUCCGAUUAGCUCGNGGUGAGGUAACGGCUCACCAAGGCGACGAUCGGUAGGUGGUCUGAGAGGACGAUCACCCAGACUGGGACUGAGACACGGCCCAGACUCCUACGGGAGGCAGCAGUCGGGAAUUUUGCGCAAUGGACGAAAGUCUGACGCAGCAACGCCGCGUGAGGGAUGACGGCCUCGGUU
rnacentral:rRNA from 1 species